rnacentral:rRNA from 1 species
AGAGUUUGAUCAUGGCUCAGGAUGAACGCUGGCGGCGUGCCUAAUACAUGCAAGUCGAACGGGGUAUUUGAUUUAUCAAAUACUUAGUGGCGAACGGGUGAGUAACGCGUUGGUGACCUGCCCCAAAGCGGGGGAUAACAGCCUGAAAGGGUUGCUAAUACCGCAUAUGGUUGGAAGAGAUUAGAAGCUUUCAAUUAAAGGAUUUAUCCACUUUGGGAGGGGCCUGCGUCCCAUCAGCUAGUUGGUAAGGUAACGGCUUACCAAGGCGAAGACGGGUAGGGGACCUGAGAGGGUGACCCCCCACAAUGGAACUGAAACACGGUCCAUACACCUACGGGUGGCAGCAGUAGGGAAUAUUGCACCAUGGGCGAAAGCCUGAUGCAGCAACGCCGCGUGAGUGAAGAAGGCCCUCGGGUCGUAAAACUCUUUUCAAGAGGAAGAGGAAGGACGGUACUCUUGGAAUAAGCCUCGGCUAACUACGUGCCAGCAGCCGCGGUAACACGUAGGAGGCGAGCGUUAUUCGGAUUUACUGGGCGUAAAGCGCGUGCAGGCGGCACUUUAAGUUGGAUGUGAAAGCUCCCGGCUUAACUGGGAGAGGACGUUCAAAACUAAAGAGCUUGAGUAUGAGAGAGGAAAAUGGAAUUCCGGGUGUAGUGGUGAAAUGCGUAGAUAUCCGGAGGAACACCAGUGGCGAAGGCGAUUUUCUGGCUCGUAACUGACGCUAAGACGCGAAAGCUAGGGUAGCAAACGGGAUUAGAGACCCCGGUAGUCCUAGCUGUAAACGAUGUAGACUAGGCGUUGGUGGAGUAAAAUCCAUCAGUGCCGGAGCAAACGCGAUAAGUCUACCGCCUGGGGACUACGGCCGCAAGGUUAAAACUCAAAUGAAUUGACGG